AUGCAAUCAGAACAUGAAGUCUAGGAACCGGCAUGCGCAUAACCUCCGUAUAUAAAUGAUGCUGAAGACCCGUUACGGUUUUUUUUUUUUUAGGGUUCGGUGUUUUACUGUUGAGCUGCUCAGUGCCCAGCUUAGAGGACCAGGAAAAGGAGUCACCGGCCGUAUGCUGGAGGCUUGAGACACGGCACAGCGGCGCAGCUCGCCUCGCUAUGGUUGGUGGUGGCAGUGGAGAUUGCGAUUGCUGGAGGGGUAGGAAGAGGAAAAUAGUUUUGGGAUAGAUAGAGAGUCCUUUAGGUUGUUUGAGGGACAUUCAUCAAGGAAACCGGAGAAACUUAAAACGCUCUUCCGCUUCUUUGGAACAGUCACAGAGAAAAGUGAACUCCUUUCAUUCUUGCAGUAAUUUUUCUUGCUGAUGGGAACAGUUCAAGUCAAGUGACAUAACCUACUGGGUUGGUGACAUUUACAAGACAGAGCCUUGAGGAUUUUCCAGAGUGGGAAAGUCAAGGAACUUGAUGCUCCCUAAAUCCAAAUAUUACGGUUAAAAGAAGAGAGAGGAAAUGUGUGCAGAGAAAGUGUAUUUUACAAAUGAACUAAAGAUGGAUUCUGAGAUACAGGUUUAUAGAUUUACCUAGAGUUUUGAGUUCAGGAAGCCAUCAUUCUUUAGAGGGCAAUGACCAAACAGUACCAGCAGAAAUUGAAGUACCAGCAGAAGGCUAAGAAGGGAUCAUGGCACAAGCUGCAGUUUCCACCCUGCCCAUUGAAGAUGAGGAGUCCAUGGAAGAUGAGGAGUCCGUUGAAGAUGAGUCUGUUGAAGAUGAGUCCGCAGAGAGCAGGAUGGUGGUGACAUUGCUCAUAUCAGCUCUUGAGUCCAUGGAUCAUGGCACAAGUUGCAGUUUCCACUCUGCCCACUGAAGAUGAGGAGUCUGUUGAAGAUGAGGAGUCGUUGGAGAGCAGGAUGGUGGUGACAUUCCUAAUGUCAGCUCUCGAGUCCACGAGUCUCUGUUUCACCCAAUCUGGAGUGCAAUGAUGCAGUCGUAGCUAACUGCAGCCUCAACCACCUGGUCUCAAGCAAUUCUCCCGCCUCAGCCUUCCAAGCAUCUGGGACUACAGGUGCACACCAUCCAUGCCCAGCUGAUUUUUGUAUUUUUUUGUAGAGAUGGGAUCUUGUUAUAUUGCCGAGGCUGGUCUUGAACUCUGGGGCUAAAGCAAUACUUUCACCACAGCCUCUCAAGUAGCUGAAACUACAGAUGCAUACCACCAUGCCCAGCUAAUUUUCUCUUAUUUCUUUUUGUUGUUUAAUUGAGGGGGGGCUCUCACUGUGUUUCCCAGGCUGGUCCCGAACUUCUGGCCUCAAGCAUUUCUCCUGCUUUGACCUCCUAAACUGUUGGGAUUAUGGUUGUGAGCCCCAGCCUCUGUGUCCAGCAAUCACAAGAGGUCUUUAUAAGUGAAAGAGGGAGGUAAGAGAGUCAGAAUUGAAGGAGAUUUGAUGAUGGAAGCACAGGUCACAGAGGGAGAUUUGAAUAUGCUUUGCUUCUGGCUUUGAAGAUGCAGUUAGGGGCCAUGAGCUAAAGAAUAGGGGUUGCUUUCGGAACUGGGAAAGGCAAGGGAACACCUUCUCUCUGGAACCUCCAGAAGGGAUGCAGUCCUGCUGACACCUUGACUUUAGCCUUAAUAGACCUAUUUUGGACUUCUGGCCCCCAGACCUGUUAGGUAGUAGAUUUGUGGUGUAUCAAGCCACUCAAUGUAGGGUAGUUUGUAACAGCAGCAAGAAGAAAUGAACAUGAAGCCAGGGGUAGUGGCCCACACCUAUAAUUCCAGCUAUUUAGGAGGCUGAGGCAGGAUGGUUGCUUUGGCCCAGGAGUUCAAGAUAAGCCUGGGCAACAAAGUGAUACCCUGUCUACAUGGGAAAAAAAAAUUAGCGGGUGUAGUGGCAUGCACUUGUAGUCUUAGCUACUAGAGGCGCUGAGGCAGGACGAUUUCUUGACCUAGGAGUUCCAGGUCUCAGUGUGUUGUGAUCGUGCCAUGGUGCCCCAGCCUGAGUGACACAGCGAGAUUAUAUCUUAAAAAAAAGUAAAAAGAAAUGAGUGAGCAUGGCAGGAAUGGGGACACAUAGCAAUAUUAAAUAGAGUGGUCAGGGUUGGCCUCCUAAGUGAAAAUUGAGCAAAGACUUGAAGGAGGGGAAGGAGCUGGCCAAGGUACUGAGGGAAGAGCAUUGUAGGCAGAAACAACAGAAUAAAGAUGCUGAGGGAACUCCGUGGUGUGUCUGAAGCUCAGGAAAGAGGUCUGUCGAGUAGAGAGAGGGAGAGAAGGUAGGGGAGGAGGCCAGGGAGUUGUGGGACUCAGAUCAGUACAGAUUGUGCAAGCCCUGGGAGGCUAUUGCUGGGGCUUUGGCUUCUAUGCUGUCUGAGAUGGGAGAUGCGGAAGGGUUCUGAGCAGAGAGGUGACACGAACUAUCUAUUGAUUUAAAAGCAUCCCAUGGUGGCUGAGUUGAGAAAGAUUGUGGCAAGAUUUGGGUAGAAGCACGGAGGCCAAGCUGUGGCAACAUCCAGGUAGGAGAUGAUAGUGGUUCUGACCAGGGUCCUGGCAAUGGUGAGAGAUGGUUGAUUCUUGUUGAGAUACUAAGUAAUUAAAAAAAACAAAACACUACUGCUUUUCCUGAUUAUAUGAAGUAUGGGAUGCUAGAUUAAAGACAUCUUAAGUCGGGCCAGGUGCAGUGGCUUAUGCCUGUGGCGUCAGCACUUUGGGAGCACUUUGGGAGGCACAGAUGGCACAGAUGGGAGAAUUGUUCGAGUCCAGGAGUCUGAGACCACCCUGGGCAACAUAGCAAGACCUCCUGUCUAUGCAAAUAAAAAUUAAUAAAAUAUAAUUAUCAUGGGAUAGUGGUAUUUUGCUGUAGAACCAGUUACUCUGGUUGUCGAGGUGGGCAGAUCUCUUGAGGGUGGGAGUUUGAGGCCAGCUUGGGCAACAUAGCAAGGCUCCUCUUUCUAC